rnacentral:rRNA from 1 species
CCACGUUGAAUACGUUCCCGGGUCUUGUACACACCGCCCGUCACACCACGAAAGUUGGUAGCACCCGAAGUGCCUAUUUUACUAGGCCCUAAGGUGAGACCAGUAAUUGGGGUG